UCGACACUGCUAACACAAGAUCUAAAUUAAAUAUACAUCUAAAUUAACAAUUAUAAUAAACAUACAUAUGAUUGAACCUGAAUUAAAAUAUUUUUUCAAAUAUUUGGAAUUAUUUCAAUCACUUAUUAGUCCUCAACUAAUCAUAAACUUCAAAUUAAAGAAAAGCAGUCUAUUACAUAAGGCAUCCUCGUUCACACAAGAGGUUCGGCUAUACCCAAAGUUAUGUGAUGUAGUCUGCAUACUCUAAUGCAAGUAUUAGUGAUUGUUUUCACGCUCGAACCUGUGACAUAUAGGUCACAUGGAGACAACUUUAUCAUUGUUCCAUGGCUCCCCUUCAAAUUAGGGAAUUGAAAUUAAAGCCUCAAAUUGAACCAUGAACAAAGAAAUGAAGGUUUUACUCAUAAUUUACCACUAUACAAGCAUAAGCUACUGCAUUACAAACAAGGAAAGAGAAAUCAACAAGAAGGCUCUUUUCUCUUUCAACCAAAGAACUUAGGAUCAUAUCCAUUGCUAGAAGUGGCAAGAAUAUAAUAAGCAACAAUAUGACCAAUUGAGCCCCAAGCAAGAACAUCAACAAUGUUGAAACCAACAGGAUCAUUAGAUUUUAGCAAACUAACAUAUUCUUUGGCUCUGGAAUCACCAGCUUCAAAAUGGCUAAUUCCAUUUUGCUUAGGCAACCCUUGUUUGGCCACAUUCUCUCUUUGGAAAUUGAAGAAAACAAAUCUUCCCAAGAAAAGUGAUAGUCCUGUGCUCAAGCUAAUAACAAGAGAUGUGUUGAGCUCAGCUUUAACACCAAGAUUGCAUCUUUUCUUCAUGGGUUUGUAGGAAUUGGCCUUAUUGUUGAGAAUAACACAAGAAUCAGUUGGUUUGUUAAGAGGUCUUAGACCUUGAAAUGUUGGUGCAGAGAACAAAGUAGAAGCCAUAAUUAUUAAUUACAGCAGAGUUUUUUUUUUGGAGAAGGGGGAUACAGGGAAUUGAUCUUUAAUUGGAUAUAUAAGUGGAUAUUGGAAAAGUUGGAAGAUGAGGUUUAUACUCUAGGAAAGGCUUUGGGAGAAAAGAAAUAGAUUUUGUUAGGAUAAGAAUGAGGUAAAGAAAGAUUUUGGAUGGUGAGGUGGCUUUUCUUCAUUGGUUCUUCUUGGAUCACAGAUUCUGGCCCCAAACAUUUUCGAAGAAUUUGAGUCUGAAAAGUUGUCCCUGUUUAUUUUAGACUUCUAAAUAUUAACAUUUGGGGCUAGUUUGGUAUAAGGAAUAAGGGAUAAUUAAUUUUAGAAUUAAAUUUAAGAUAAAUUUAUUCCAUAUUUAGUUGAAAUAAAAUCGUGAUAUAACUAAUUUCGGAAUUAAUUAUUCCAAAACUAUAGUAUUUUUUUAUUCCUACGGAGGAUGGGAUAACUAAUCCCAAGAUAAUUAAUCAUGAGAUAACUUGUUUCUUAACCAAACGAUCCCUUAACCUAAAAUGUUUUGUAUACUUUUCAUCUUCGUGUGACUCAAUUUUCUAUAUCAUUUUUAAACUUAACUUUAAAAAUUAUUAUUUCUCAAAUCAAACAUUUGUUAUGUCCAAACGCUUUCUUUGGAGAAUCAAUUGAAGAAAAUAAAACUUGUAAGGAAGUAAAAACAGAUUCUUCUUUCCAUAAAUACUGAUGUACAAACAUAAAAGCAUUAAACCAAAGGUACUACAAUUCAUUUAUUUUAAAAUAAUUUGUCAAUAUUACGUAAACUGAUCUCGUAGACGUGAAAGCCAACAAUAAUUUGGAAAUAACGAGUUAUAUUCUUCUUCUUUUUCAACGAGGAGUCAUAUUCUAUAGUUCAACAAUAUUAUCUUACUUUCAUAGUAUGAGCCAACAAAAAAGUCCUAACACAUGAUUUGAAAUGAAUUACUUGUAAUAAAAAUAUGUCCAAACGAACAGUCUCGAAACCAGAUUCUUCCUUCUCUCCCCACCCAACAUUCAAGGGCGAAACCAGGGGUGCAACUUCGAAAAAUUACACUGUAUAUACAAGGUCAAUUUUUUAAUUUAUGUAUAUGUACUAGUAGAUAUUGAGUCUAUCUUGUUUCUUCACUAUUUAGUUCUUUCUAUUUUAAAUCUCCUUAUUAAAAAUUCUAGUAUCCAGUGUUAGAAGCAAAAUAUCAAUUGCAGGAUAGAGUGAUGAAUUUGAGGCCUCCUAUUUUCAAUUCAACUUUGAAAACCCUUUUGGAUCAACUUCCAACAACAAAAGAUUUAGCAACUUGACUAGAUUGUAUCUUUGAGUUUAGACUUUUCAAUAUAGAUCCGAGCAAACUUAGAAGUACUUACAAAAAAAAAAAAAGGCAGCCCGAUGCAGUAAACUCUCACUAUGCACGGGGUCUGGAGAAGGGCCGAAUCAUAAGGGUCUAUAUUGUAUGCAGCCUUACCCUGCAUUUCUGCAAGAGGUUGUUUCUACGGCUCGAACUCGUGACCUCCUGGUCACAUGGUAGCAACUUAACCAGUUACGCCAAGGCUCCCCUUCUUAGAAGUACUUACACUAUGUCAAAAAUUUUAUUUAUCAAAAAAUAAACAGCUUAUGACCUAUAUAUAUAUGCUGUGGAGAGUUUAUCACCUUCAAAUAAUAGAGCAUUUAAGAAGCUCUACAGAAUGUAUCAAAAACCAUGGCCUUUUAUCUUGAUGGGAUAUUUCUUCUCCUGUUGCUUUUCACACUGAAUUCUCCCUAAAAACCAUAUACUACUACUGAAUAUCACAAUAAUAUGACAGAUAGGCAAACCUGAUGACUUAAGCUUCAUUUCUUCCUAAACAAAUGCAACUAACCUGAAACGUCUGUAUCUGCAGAACAAUGCAAUUGGAGGGAGAUUUCAUGAGUUUUUCAGAAACCUCUCGGAUAAUCUAGCCUUUGUCGACUUGUCAAGCAAUCGAUUUUCUGGACAUAUCCCGAUAGAGAUUGGGAAAUUUGUUAACCUGGAAGAACUUAGGCUGAGCAGCAACCAACUCACAGGUAUCAUUCCACCGACUAUUGGAAAGCUUUAUAAGCUACAAUAUUUAAUCUUGUCAUGGAAUUACUUCAGUCAUUCAAACAAGCUUAACUUUAAGCUUGUCAUAAUCUCUGUGAUAUUGGGGAUUUUGGGGCUAGUUGUUAUGGUUGGUUUUCCCUUCUCCUCUAUCGGUUCCAAAGGACCAAACAGACAUUUCCUUCUUUACAUAAAUAUCUAAACCAACUCCUAUCUAUGUCCUACCAAAGUAUUCUCAAAGUUACCAAUGGGUUUUCCACGAACAACUUGAUUGGUGUUGGGAGUCAUGGAUGUUUAUAAGGGAAUUGUUGAAACGGAUGAAGGUAAAAAUGUUGCUAUAAAAGUGUUGAAUCAUUCACAGCAUCAAAAGUUUCAGAGCAGAAUGUGAGGCCCUGAAAUGUUAGACAUCGUAAUUUAGUCAAGCUAGUCACUGCAUGUUCUGGUGUUGAUUAUCGUGGAAAUGACUUCAAGGCUCUGGUUUAUGAGCUUAUGGCCAAUGGAAGUUUGGAGGACUGGCUGCAUCCAGAUUAUUCAAGAGCAGAUGGUCAGUCAAUUAUAAGGUUGGGGUUUCUGCAACGGCUCAAUAUUGCUAUUGAUGUUGCUGGUGCAAUCCAUUAUCUUCAUAAUGAUUGUCAGAUACCAAUAGUUCAUUGUGAUCUCAAACCGAGCAACGUUCUCCUCGACGAUGAAUUGGUUGCCCAUGUUGGUGAUUUUUGAUUGGCACGUUUCCUACUACUGACUAAUAAAACAACACCUGAAAUUCAGACAAGCUCUACAACUGUUAAAGGAUCUAUCGGCUACACAGCUCCAGGUAAUUUCAUAAUACAUGAUCAUGUUCCAUAAUAAUUCUAAUGAUAGUCUAAUGAUUUGUGAUAUAUAUUUCCAUUGUAGAGUAUGGGAUGGGAAGCAAGCCAUCAAAUAAUGUUAUCAAAGGCGCGCUUAAGCCCUGAAGCGAGGCUCAAAACAUGUUGAGCGGGCACUUUAGUGUUGUCAUCAAGGCUCUAAGACAUACUUUUCCUUGAAAAUGAGCAUAAUCCUAAAAAGGUGACACUAAACAAUUGUUGUUUCACUUUAUCGUAAAUUUUCUUCAAUUUCUGUCCAUAUAUUUGGUAUCCGUGCUUAUAGAAAUUACUCUUGGAUUACUCAUACAAAUUUGUAAUUUUUCUCCAUUUGCAUCUUUCUUAUUGAAGCCCACGCUUUAUUUUCGCUUUACGCUUAAAGCCCCAACAGAUCUUAGGGUUUUUUUGCAUUUUUCUCCUUUGAUAACAAAGCCAUCAAAGCAUGGCGAUGUGUAUAGUUUUGGUAUUCUCUUACUAGAAAUGUUCACGGAAAAAGGGCCUACAGAUAGCAUGUUCGGCGGUGAAUUAAACCUUCAUGAUUUAGUCAAGAAUGCCAUACCUGAUGGUGAGGGAGCACUUGAAAUAGUAGAACCCGUUCUUAGUUUUGGAAAAGGAAAUGAUCAUAAGCAAAGAUCAGAGCUCUCAUUCCAGGCUUCAUGAGAAGGCACAAAACUGUGAGGGGUUUAGUCUCCUUAUUUGGAGUUGGAGUUGUUGUUCAAUGUAUGAUACAAGUGAAAGAAAAAAUAUAAAGGAGGUUGUCAAAGAGUUGUGCUCUAUUAGAGAUUCUCUUCUUCGUUAUUUUAUCGUUUAUGUUAUAUAGGUUCCCAAUAAAGCAUUCUUAUAAAUAAUAUGAAUAGAGAUCUUUUUGCUUAUGUAAAUCAUAUCUGUUUUCAUCAACAAAAGCUAUGGAGUUCACGUGAACCCUUAUAAUACAUGCUAGCUCCGCCUCUAUUAAUGCUGCAUUUGCCAUGCCUGUUAUAUAGCAAAUGCAGCAAUAGGAGUUGUUGUAUGGAAGUAAUAUGAAGAUAAAAAUUAAAAUAGUUGUAAGGAAAAUGACUUCCGGCUAUUAGCGAUCAGACAAGUCAUUUUCCUCCUUUUGAUGGAAAAUACCAUAAAAAUGGCGUCCGUCAUUACCAAAUACCAUAAAAUGAUUUACUCAUGGAAACAUUUUCCAGGAAGUCAUUUUUCCUCGUACGAAACGCGCCCCCAUCAAAUUCUAUUAACCAAUAACCGGUACAAAACUAAUAACAUGAGAGAAAGGAGUUUACCGAUGGAAAAUUGAACUCCUAUACCAUUUGCAGGUACAAACAGAAGGUGUUGACCACAAAUUUCAAAUGUCUUAUAGCCACACUAAUACUAUAACAUGUUUAAGACUACAAGUUUCAAAAGUUUUCUUCUUUUUUUUCCCUUAAACUCCGUGUCGACUCAAACCUGAAACCAUAUCACAUAAAUUGUAACCGAGGGAGUAUUCGUUUUCUGUUGAAAUAUAUGGACAACUGUAUAAUAAAUACUACUAUAGUUUGGGACUAUACUUCUAAACUAAUCGUAAACCUCAAAUUUGAACUAAAAUAACAUAAAUAUAUUGAAACCAUGGAUGAACAAAGAAAUGAAAAAUGUAGUACUAAUAAUUCUUUGCCAAUAUACAAGCUUAAGCUACUGCAAAACAAAUAAGGCCAUGUCAAUUGAAGAGUACAAAUCAACAAGAAGACUAUUUUCUCUUUCAACCGAAGAACUUAAGAUCAUAUCCAUUUCUAGAAGUGGCAAGAACAUAAUAAGCAACAAUAUGGCCAAUAGAGCCCCAAGCAAGAACAUCAACUCUGUUCUUAGAGAACUGAUGUUUAAUUGGAUAUAUUAGGGAUAUUGGAAUUCCAAUGUAUAAAAGAUGAUACUUAAAAUUUAAUAGCCUUUGCAAAUUAUCGUCCUAAACUCUAAGAACGUUUUCAGAAAAUCAAAACAGCUAGCAAUUUUCCUAAAACCAAUUAUUCAAUUCAUUUAUCUUUUGAUAGGUUUUUGCUAAGUUAAACACUAACAAAAUGACAAAUGUCUUCAGUAGCUUCGGUUUUUUUAAAAACUUACAGUCAGUUUUGUGACACUUUAUGUUCUCAAUACACCUAAAUAUGCAUUUUCUUUUUUUCUUUAAAAACAACCAGAUGAAGAGGAUAAGUACAAAAAUUCAUAAAUCACAUAUAUACUUAGGUUUCAGAAGAAUCAAUGCAUUCUCCCAACAACUAUGCUCUACUAAAAUUAUCGACACAACUAAUUACAAACUCAAAAUCAUAAAAUCUGAACAAUAAUGCGAACUCGACACUACUAUUUGCACCAUAAAAACAGUAAAUACUAUACAAAAAAAAAACGGCGCACAAUUCAGAAUUUGAGAGGAACAAAAGGAGCAAACUUUCCAUGAAAUUGAGCAAAAGCUAUACAAGCAAACAUCGAGUCCGGGAAUCCUAAAAUAUUCAAUGCCUCAAUAUAUUAUAUAUAUCUUCCUUAUAAUUCGAAUAUCAACAGAUUAUUUAAAUAGAUAUCUAAAAUCAAACAAAAAAAUCGGAGUGAAGGGCGAAUAGGUAGAUACCUUUGAAAUUGAAGGUCCGUUCGUCGGAAGGGGGCGGAGAUGGUUUCUCAUAGCCGACGGAGGCGGAAAUGAAGAUUAUUAACACUUUAUUCUAAAAGCUUAUAGUACCUCGUAUAAAUUUUAUGAGAUGUAUGAGUCAGCAGAAAAUGACAAAAACGGUCCCUUAUGUUUGGGUAUAGGUUCAAAG
rnacentral:lncRNA from 1 species